rnacentral:tRNA from 1 species
UUCUCUGUAGCUCAGGGGUAGAGCAACUGGCUGUUAACCAGUGGGACGUUGGUUCAAACCCAACCAGGGAA